UUUCGUUUUUUGCUCGAAAAUAUAUUUAUUAAUGUCAGUUAAUUCCAAAUUUUGAAUAAUUUCUGUCAAUAUUAAUAUUGUGUAUUUCACAAUAAGUGGAUGUUCUGAAUUCUUUUUUUGAGGACUUAUUUUAGAUAUCUGCUUUGUUAUCAAACAAAAUUGUGAUAGUACCUAGUCCUGCGUGGUUUGUGAAAAGUUAGAAAUCUGAACUUAUAAGUUAUUUUCAAAUUGAACUGUAAGUACAUCUGCAAGUUAUUUCAGUUAAGUAUUUUACUACCGGAUGAAGUUAAACAGUUCUAGGAGAUCGAAGAACAAAUUACUAACCAGAGCUCAUAACUUUUCUUAAUCCUGACUAAUGAGCUUCGUUACUGGAUAAAAUUGUCCUGGGGGAUUGGAGAACAAAUUAGUAACCAGAGCUAAUAUUUUUUUGAACUUCGACU